UACGGGGGGGGGCAAGCGUUGUUCGGAAUUACUGGGCGUAAAGGGCUCGUAGGCGGCCAACUAAGUCAAACGUGAAAUCCCUCGGCUUAACCGGGGAACUGCGUCUGAUACUGGAUGGCUUGAGUUUGGGAGAGGGAUGCGGAAUUCCAGGUGUAGCGGUGAAAUGCGUAGAUAUCUGGAGGAACACCGGUGGCGAAGGCGGCAUCCUGGACCGACACUGACACUGAGGAGCGAAAGCAUGGGUAGCAAACAGG
rnacentral:rRNA from 1 species